UACGUAGGGUGCGAGCGUUAAUCGGAAUUACUGGGCGUAAAGUGUGCGCAGGCGGCCGAGCAAGUCGAGUGUGAAAGCCCCGAGCUUAACUUGGGAACUGCGCUCGAAACUACUUGGCUAGAGUGUGGCAGAGGGAGGUGGAAUUCCACGUGUAGCGGUGAAAUGCGUAGAGAUGUGGAGGAACACCGAUGGCGAAGGCAGCUCGCUGGGACGGUACUGACGCUGAGGAGCGAAAGCGUGGGGAGCGAACAGG
rnacentral:rRNA from 1 species